UCUUCCGUAGUAUAGUGGUCAGUAUGUGAGCUUGUCAUCGGACACCGAUUUCGCUCGAGACCCGGGUUCAAUUCCCGGCGGGAGAG